AACGAACGCUGGCGGCAGGCCUAACACAUGCAAGUCGAACGCUGUAGCAAUACAGAGUGGCAGACGGGUGAGUAACGCGUGGGAACGUACCCUUCGGUCCGGAAUAACUCGGGGAAACUCGUGCUAAUACCGGAUACGUGCGCAGGCAGAAAGGUUUACUGCCGAAGGAUCGGCCCGCGUCUGAUUAGCUAGUUGGUGGGGUAACGGCUCACCAAGGCGACGAUCAGUAGCUGGUCUGAGAGGAUGAUCAGCCACAUUGGGACUGAGACACGGCCCA
rnacentral:rRNA from 1 species